rnacentral:rRNA from 1 species
GAUGAACGCUGGCGGCGUGCCUAAUACAUGCAAGUCGAGCGAACGGACGAGAAGCUUGCUUCUCUGAUGUUAGCGGCGGACGGGUGAGUAACACGUGGAUAACCUACCUAUAAGACUGGGAUAACUUCGGGAAACCGUAGCUAAUACCGGAUAAUAUUUUGAACCGCAUGGUUCAAAAGUGAAAGACGGUCUUGCUGUCACUUAUAGAUGGAUCCGCGCUGCAUUAGCUAGUUGGUAAGGUAACGGCUUACCAAGGCAACGAUGCAUAGCCGACCUGAGAGGGUGAUCGGCCACACUGGAACUGAGACACGGUCCAGACUCCUACGGGAGGCAGCAGUAGGGAAUCUUCCGCAAUGGGCGAAAGCCUGACGGAGCAACGCCGCGUGAGUGAUGAAGGUCUUCGGAUCGUAAAGCUCUGUUAUUAGGGAAGAACAUAUGUGUAAGUAACUGUGCACAUCUUGACGGUACCUAAUCAGAAAGCCACGGCUAACUACGU